rnacentral:rRNA from 1 species
UACGUAGGGUGCAAGCGUUGUCCGGAAUUGAUUGGGCGUAAAGAGCUCGUAGGCGGCUCGUCGCGUCGACCGUGAAAACCCGCAGCUUAAACUGCGGGCUUGCGGUUGUACGGGCGGGCUAGAGUUCGGUAGGGGAGACUGGAAUUCCUGGUGUAGCGGUGAAAUGCGCAGAUAUCAGGAGGAACACCGGUGGCGAAGGCGGGUCUCUGGGCCGAUACUGACGCUGAGGAGCGAAAGCGUGGGGAGCGAACAGG